GGAAGUAAAAGUCGUAACAAGGUCUCCGUUGGUGAACCAGCGGAGGGAUCAUUAUAGAGUUUUCUAAACUCCCAAACCCAUGUGAACUUACCAUUGUUGCCUCGGCAGAACCUACCCGGUACCUACCCUGGAACUAGCUACCCUGUAGCUACCCAGGAACGGACUACCCUGUAACGUCCUGCCGGUGGACUUCUAAACUCUUGUUAUUUAUAGUAAUCUGAGCGUCUUAUUUUAAUAAGUCAAAACUUUCAACAACGGAUCUCUUGGUUCUGGCAUCGAUGAAGAACGCAGCGAAAUGCGAUAAGUAAUGUGAAUUGCAGAAUUCAGUGAAUCAUCGAAUCUUUGAACGCACAUUGCGCCCAUUAGUAUUCUAGUGGGCAUGCCUGUUCGAGCGUCAUUUCAACCCUUAAGCCUAGCUUAGUGUUGGGAAUCUGCUGUAAAGCAGUUCCUCAAAUACAACGGCGGAUCUGUAACAUCCUCUGAGCGUAGUAAAUUUUUAUCUCGCUUUUGUCAGGUGUUGCAGCUCUCAGCCGCUAAACCCCCCAAUUUUUGUGGUUGACCUCGGAUCAGGUAGGAAUACCCGCUGAACUUAAGCAUAUCAAUAAGCGGAGGA
rnacentral:rRNA from 1 species